rnacentral:misc_RNA from 1 species
GGAAGAAAAAACUUGGUGAUUGAUGAUUGUGAUGCUAAACAAUCGGUAUAUAUCUUUGGAUGCAAAGAUUCAGUUUUGCAGAUUCAAGGGAAGGUGAACAACAUAACAGUUGAUAAGUGUACAAAAAUGGGAGUUGUAUUCACGGAUGUUGUGGCUGCAUUUGAGAUUGUAAAUUCCAAUGGGGUUGAAGUACAAUGUCAGGGUUCUGCGCCAACUAUUUCUGUGGAC